rnacentral:rRNA from 1 species
AUGUACAGGACCACUUCCAUGAAGCACCAAGGUUUGGUGAGGCUGAAAUGCCAGAUAGUGCAGGUGUCCCCUUCCAGUACUUCAGGGUUCUGCACAACUGGGCUUCCCAGCGAUGUUGUCGUUCAGGUUGGGGAGAUGUCUUUCCACCUCCACAAGUUCCCUCUGCUUUCAAAGAGUGCCAUCUUGGGAAGGUUGAUUGAGGAGAAUUCAGACCAAGACGAAUGUACCAUCAAACUAUCCGACAUCCCUGGAGGUGCAAAAUCAUUCGAGUUAGUGGCAAGGUUCUGUUAUGGUUUGAAGAUAGAGCUCUCUCCAGCAAAUAUUGUCCACCUUCGAUGCGCCGCUGAAUAUCUCGAGAUGACAGAAGAAAUAGCUCAGGAUAACCUCAUCCACCAGGCAGAAAUGUUCUUUAACCAAGUAGUUCUCCGCAGCUGGAAAGAUUCCCUGGAAGCACUCAAGACAUGUGAUGUCCUUCUCCCUCAUGCCGAAGACCUUCACAUUGCGAAGAGGUGCGUCGAAUCGUUGGCCGCCAAGGCUAGCAUAGAUCCAGACCUCUUUGGCUGGCCAGUAUCAGAGCACGGUGCGAUGCAUAGCCCCGGGGGCAGUGUAUUGUGGAAUGGUAUUAGCACGGGCGCAAAGCUCGGGAACUUCAGCUCAGAUUGGUGGUAUGGUGAUGCUUCAUCAUUGAGCUUCCCUACAUACAAGAGGCUUAUCUCCACUAUGGAGUCAAGAGGUGCCAAGGAGGAGAUUGUCGCUGGUUCGCUCACAUACUAUGCCAAGAAGUGUCUCCCAGGACUGAAUAGGCGUCAAAGCAUGGGACCGGUGCCCCUGACUUCUGCUGCUGCUACCCUAUCUGAGGAGGAACAGAGGCAUUUGCUUGAGGACAUUGACAGGAUGCUGCCUCUUCAGAGAGGCCUGAUAUCCACAAAUGUUUUGCUCUGGCUGCUUCGAACUGCCAUGAUUCUGAAAGUCAACCGUGCUUGCAUUUCCAAUUUGGAGAAAAGGGUCGGCAUGCAAUUAGAUGAAGCCACACUGGAGGAUCUACUGCUACCUAACUUCUCGUACACAAUGGACACACUCUACAAUGUCGAAUGUGUGCGCAGGAUCCUUGAUCACUUCUUGGCAAUGGACCAGACCAUGGGUGGUGGCUCCCCGUGCUUGGAUGAUGUGAUGGGUUCUCCUUCACUGGCGCCGAUCACCGCUGUCGCUAAGCUGAUUGAUGGCUACCUUGCAGAGAUUGCACCAGAUAUCAACCUGAAGCCACCGAAAUUUGAAUCUCUUGCAACUGCUUUGCCUGAAUAUGCCCGGCCUCUAGACGAUGGACUUUACCGCGCCAUUGAUGUAUACUUGAAGGCGCAUUCUUGUCUGCCGGAAUCCGAGCGCGAGCAUCUCUGCCGGCUGAUCGACUGCCAGAAGCUGUCCCUGGAGGCAUGCACCCACGCCGCGCAGAACGAGCGCCUGCCGCUGCGUGUGGUGGUGCAGGUCCUCUUCUUCGAGCAGCUCCAGCUGCGGACAUCCAUCGCCGGGUGCCUGAUGGUCUCCGACAACCUGGAAGGAUCCUCACGCCCCCUCCACGGCAGUGGCACCAUCGCGACGUCCGGCGAAGCCGGUGCCCGCUGGGUCACGUCGGCGGCGGUGAGGGAGAACCAGGCGCUCAGGGCCGGCAUGGACAGCAUGCGGCUGCGGCUGGCGGAGCUGGAGAGGGAGUGCUCCGGCAUGCGGCAGGACAUCCGGAAGUUCGGUGGCGCCCCGGGGAAGGACGGCUGGGCGGCGCGGGUCCAGCGGAUGUUCAGCCUGAAGAUGAAGCUGCAGAUGUGCAGCACCGAGGAGGGGAAGAUGAGCGACCGGCACAGGACUGCCAGCGCCAAGCUGGAGAAGCUGCAGGCCAAGGUGUCCAGUCACAAGAAGCACCUCACCAUUGAUGCAUGA